AUGGAUGGGUGGAUGGAUGCCACUUCAGCUUCAGAUUUAUCACAAUAUUUGUCCAAUUUGGAACACAAUAGCAGGAGGACGCAAGAGUCGAUUCUCUACCGAGCCGAAUUGAAUCCGACUCUCUGAACUCUCUUUUUUGUUUCCUGGUCACUUUCGGUUAUAUUUAACAUUAACGCAGUACAUUUUAAGAUGCAGCGUUAGAAAUCUGACACAUGAAUAUCUUUGAGGAAUACAAGCUGUCAGUUUUUUGUGGGGACCCUGAAUGGGGCCAAUCAGCAACAGUAAGGACCUCCCCUUUUAUUUUAGGUUUUGAUUUUGUGUUUUAUAUUAAAGCAUAGUAGUUUAUAUUAGAGAAUAUAAUCUAUAAUAUAAUAUUAGCAUGGAGGAAUGAUAAAGUGUAACACACAUACACUCACACACACUCAAGGUGUCCUUGUAAAGAACACUCACUGUGUCCAUUCAGGUGUGUGUGAGUGCAGCGUGGGUCACGGUGGAGUGUGAGAACCUGAGAUAGAGAUCGCUCCUGCAGCGACUGACCGGUGAAAAAUGCGGCUGGGGUGGAGAGGUGCGUCGGAUCUGUUCUCCCUCUCUCAAUGCCAGCGCGAGGACACAGAAGGACAUUCAGAGUCCUUUCACUCGGCCGUGGCAUCUUCUAACACCUGCACUGCUGCGCUUUUGUCCCUGGCUCGCUGUGUGUGCUCGGCCCUACAUUAAGGCCACUAUGCAGGAAGGGAACUGGCUUUGUGUGUCUGAAUAGUGGACGUGAAUGUGGACAUGGUGCAGGAUCAGGCUGGUGUGGGUCUUUUCCCCAGGGAGUAAUCGGCUCUGUUGUCCAGCCCGGCAGCAGACAGAGACAUCGCUGCCUCGUUCUUUCAGCAUGUGAGAAGAUCUCUUUCUCCUCGCACCGUAUGAAAGACUCUCUUUCUUCACCAGCUAAAAAUCCAGCAGGAAGUGGGCCGCUGGAGCAACGCUUGGCUGGAGGACACUAAUCUCUCUGAUGAGACGCAGCCACGAGGAUAACAAAUCACCUCUGAGUGAAAUGUAAAAAGCCCGGGCAAAAUGGCAGGAAUCUCAUGUUGCGAGAGUCGGAGCCGUGAUUAUGUUACACGAUACGUAUCACAUAAUGUAGUGCUGAGCUAGUGAUACACUCCAAAGCCUUCUUCAGUGUGUUCCCCUGGGAGAACCAGGGAAAGAGCUACAGUAUAGAGAGCCGAAGCAGGUAUUACACACUGAUCUAUAGCGUAGAAGUCGUGAAUACAGACGUUGAUUAGUUAACACACAAGGUUCCGUGUUGCUCACACGAUACUCCAGUUAUAAUAUAAUAAUAACCUAAUACUUUAUUAAUAAUGAAUGAAUACAUGUCGUCAUUCUCAGGAAAUAUUAACUAUAAAUAAUGUUUUAUCUCUCACUCAACCGGCUAUAAAUGCUUUAUUAUUCACACUGACAUUCUCUAUUUACUCUCUAUUAUCUAUUCCUGCUUUUUUUUUUUUUUUUUUUACAAAAACCUAUGAAUAAUUAUUAGCUGUGAAUUAAUACUCGAGCAGCAGAAAGCAGCUAGUCGUUCUUUUGGCAUGUGGGAAGAUCGUUUCGAGAAAUUAUACAACUGAAAUACUGUUCUUUUUAUUUUCACUUUUAACAAUCAAACU